rnacentral:rRNA from 1 species
CCCUUAGAUGUUCUGGGCUGCACGCGUGCUACAAUGGCGCUUGCAACAAGUCUUGCCAACCCGAUAGGGUGAGCGGAUCUUUGAAGAGGCGUCGUGAUCGGGACAGUUGAUUGCAAUUAUUCGACUCGAACGAGGAAUUCCUUGUAAUCGCGAUUCAUCAUAUCGCGCUGAAUACGUCCCUGCCCUUUGUACACACCGCCCGUCGCUCCUACCGAUUGAGCGAUCCGGUGAAUGUUUUGGACUGGCGUCAGAAGCGGUUCGCUCCUGACACUACGAAAUUUUGUAAACCUUGUCGCUUAGAGGAAGGAAAAGUCGUAACA